rnacentral:tRNA from 1 species
GUGCGUAGCUCAGUUGGUAGAGCAACAGACUUUUAAUCUGUGGGUCGAAGGUUCGAUUCCUUCCGCA